GCUGCAAUGUGUUUUUAAUGAAUAGAGAGGAGGUCCAACCCUGCAGUUUUACCCUAAUAUUAAUUAUAGUAAUAAAAGUAUUUAUAAUAAUAAUAAUAAUAAUAAUAAUAAUAAUAAUAAAAAUAAUAAUAACAAUAAUAAUAAUAACAAUAAUAAUAAUAAUAAUAAAUGAUAAGUAAUAAUAAAAAAAAUAGUUUACCUAAAAAGCAGUAGUACUUCAGAAUAAAUAUAAAGGGACAAUAUUUCAUGGUACAAUAUGCGAAUAAAGUAGACAAUAUGAUAAUACAAGGAAAUGAAGUAUAUAACACUCAUCACAGCUUGCAUUAUCACAGAAAUGCUUCAUAACUAUAAUAUUGCACAAGGUGUAAAUGGCAUGUACCAAUAGAUUACAAUGCAUAAAAUUCCAUGAUGGUACUAGAUCGUAACAGUCUGUAAAGAGGAAGGUUAUUUUAUCUAUCUACUUAUUUAUUUAUUUUUUGUUGAUUGCCACCUUGAGAAGUCGAGGUGACGUGGAGCUUGAUGACUUGAGCCGGCCCAUAGAGAGGAGGAAGGUUAAGGUAAACAGCCUAUUAUAUACUGUGGAGCACAGUUCCUGGGGGCACUAAUAACCAAUGUCAGUGUUAUAUAUAGGCUCCUUGUGCUUCUCUGACGCAUGCCUAAUAAUGGUCUGUCUAGUUGAAAUGGUUUUAGCAUACUCCGUAUAUACUCUGGCUUACCAGUCGACAUAACCUGAAAAUGAGCACUCGGUAACCUUGAGCGCAUGACACCGUCCAGCGCGCUGUUGCAGCCAGAGGGUUGACAGUUUGACCCAACAACACCAGGCAGAAUGUAGAAGUACCGUAUGUGUUGAGUUGACCUACCCUUUGGUGCCUCCCUGACCUGACCUGGGGGCGUGCAGGUGCUAAGUCAGUGUCCAGCCCCAGGACUCCCUCUGUACAUCCUCAGUGUGGCCCAGAAGUUGCUGCAGGACUGGCCACUUCCACAAGCAGUGCUGCAAUGGAGGAUGUGAGGGCAGGCAGCACCAGUAACAGCCAAAAGCACCAGGUAGUUCCAGGUGCAAGGAUCUGCACUUGUAAUUACUGCAAGAAAGGGUGCUCCUCUAAAUAAGCUGUUACAAAGAUACCUUCUCUCUUGUGCCAACAAGACAAGGCCAAGAAGGGGGAGUAGCCUCAUUAACCUCAGUGAACAUUGUUACCAACACUAAUGACAGAAACCAUAGGUGUGGUCUCUUUGGGAAAGCAUUUGCUUCAAAAAGUAAUCCUAACAGAUAUAUUUUCACCCACACUAUGAGGAUGUUUCCAAUAAACAAAUCCCAACCAACAGUCCACAAAUCUCAACAUGGAAAAGUUACAGAAGGCUAACAUAUGCUGGCUGAAUGAUGCCCAGGAUAAAAGGAUUCUCAAAUCACAUUUCAGUACCAGGACAUGUGAGGAGAGUGAUGGCGUACCCUCCACCAGUGCUACAGGGAGAAGUCCCUUCCCACCCAGCAUUCAGUUGACAACCCCAUCAGGCUACCACAGCUUUGGCCUUGGACCCCUGCAACUAGACCACCAGUAAACCAAGAGAAAUUGGCAAAAAACACAUCACAGUAAAAUCCAUUGAAGAGAAAAGAUCUUUUACUGCUUUGCCAACUCAAUGUUUGAGAAGUGGGGGACAGAAAAAAAGAAAGCACUAUUUGAGGAAAAAAUAAGAUAUGCAGAUUUAUUAGUGGAGAAGAAAGAAGCCACCACAACUGUUCAAUUAACAUCAAUUGCCUCUCAAAUCUCACAGCAUCUAUUAGCAGAAGAAAUACAAAGUAUUAAGGAAGAAGCCCAAAGAGAGGCAGUAAGUGACUUUAAGGAGAUAAAAGAUGGAAAACAACAAGAAUAUGGAAGAGGUCUAUGGAAAAUGCAGGAAAAAAAUAUUAUUAUGACAACUGAAUAUGCUAAGACCAUAUAUACUAACCAGAAAUAUAUGUAGAGAAUGGCAGAAGAUAUUCAACCUCCACUGUCCAGACAAAAUAGGCAUAGCAGGAAGCAAAUUUAUCAUCCUGAACCAGAACAUUCUCACUCAAAAGCAUUUCACAAAUGAAGAAAUAGAAGCAAUGAAAGCUGAAGUGCCAGAGCUGCCAAGACCUCCACCACCAAAUACAAACCUGAGACAACCAUUUGGAAGAGCUUCAGCUGAACCCCCAAAUAUCCAACCAUCACAUUCCAAUUCUAAUUCAGAACAAUCAAAAAGCCCUGAGAGACUAUGCAGGAACAUGAGCCACACACCACCACAAUCAGCAAAUGGAAGGCAGAUGGAAAUAAACCCAGAAUAGCAGGACCUGGAAGAAGAACUGGCUAACAAGACUGAGGGAACAAGUAGAAUGAACAUGGAAGAACACCCUAAAUUAAUCAGAUUUAAGGAAAAAAAAAGUUCAAAGCACUGUUAGAAAAGAUCAACAUUGGCUUAACUAGACUCGUCCCAGAAAGUGCCACACUAAAUAAACUGUGCAAACAACGGGGCUGCUUGGUUGGCACACACUGAUAUCAUCCCAGAGUACAAGAAAAGAGAAGGAAACAGAAAUAGGAGGAUAUGCACUGUACCACAUUGGAAAAAGAAACUGCAGUAUAAGAUCAGUCAUCUAAGAGAUCUCAUAAAUAACAACCUUCAUGCAAGACCAAAACCACACAGGAAACCUCCUCAAGAAAAUAAAGCAAAUAACAAGAAGAUACAGCAUAAGCAACAACAAUUUGGGUGGAAAACUAGCAGGACAUCAAGCCCUAGUUAAAGCCUUGGCAGCACAAAUAAGGAAUAAAGAGAAGAAAAUAUAUGCCAGAAAGAUCAACAGGUAGUUUGCAGAAAACCCAGGGGUAGUGUAUAGAAAUAGUUAAGACCUCAUUGAAACACAAGACCCACCCAGCUGAGAAAAAAGCAGCUGAGGGAUGCUGUGUGAAGAGCCCAGAGAACAUGAGGGGACCCCAUGGACAGAAACCAUCAAAAAGAAAAAUAGAAAUUAACAACAAAUGCCAGCAGUCAAAUUUGUACAGGAAGGUCUGAAAAAGAAAAUUGGUCAACUGUUGAAAAAAGAAUUAUUUAUUCAUGAAAACAAGCCUCAAUCUUUAUGAAUAGGCAGUUAGUAUGAACAUUUAUACUGUAGACUAUUAUCUAGAUGAAUGAGCAGAAAAUGAUGCAAAAAAAAAAAAUAAAUAAAUAAAAAAAAUAAAAUAAAAAUAAAUAAAUAAAGUUGCAUGACUUGAAAUCGUAUAUCUGGCAGGAUCACUGAGCAAGGCAAGUUCAGAACCUUAGUGGGACAUUUAGAAAUGGUGAUUUUGAAUUUCAAAUAAAUUUUUUUUUUUUUUUUCCGUAUUUGGGAACAGUGAAUUAUAUUGGAACAAAAAUGAAAAUUUCAUUUUUUGGUGACCAGGAUAUGGGAUGUAAGAUGUGCUGGCCUCAUACAGGGAAAGAAUGAAGAGCUGGGAUUUGAUGGGGAGAGAACUAUAGUAGAGGUACAAGACUGCAGCCUUUUAACUAACAGUAAAAAAAAAAAAAAAAAAAUAGCCAGAAUUUCACAAGAUAACAAAUGCAAAUCUAGUCUCAGGCUGCUGGACUCUUAGCAGAUAGAUACUACACAUACUGCCACAACAAAGCCUGCAAGUACUUGCACUGGAAAACAUGCAGAGAACUAGAAAUAGAUGUAAAGGAUAACAUCUGUCGAUGUCAGACCAAUGAUUGCCAGCUUUUUAAAUAUGCAGACGACACUGCUCUUGUCAGCCUUUGUAUCAACGAUGACAAUGUGUAUCGGAGGGAAGUGGAAUGUUUUCACAAGUGGUGUAAGGAAAACUACCUUGAACUUAAUGUUAAGAAAACAAAGGAAAUGGUAAUAGAUUUCAGCACUUUGCCAGUUGCCCAACAGCCGCUGUACAUAAACGGAGAACUCGUUGACACAGUUAAGGAAUACAAAUACCUCGGCACAGUAAUAGAUAAUGGGUUCAGUUUUAAUAGUAAUGUCGAGGCAAUAUAUAAAAAAGUUAAUUCUAGAAUGUAUUUCAUGAGGAAACUUAAGAAAAUUAAGAUUGACACUAAAAUUAUGGAGUUAUUCUAUACAGCAGUAGUGCAGUCAGUCAUUUCAUUUUCCAUCACAUGUUGGUAUGGUAAUUGUAGCUCUGAUUCUAAAAAUAAACUAACCCGAUUAAUCAAAAACUGUGCAAAAUUAGGUGUAAAAAAUAUCAAUUCAUUGAUGGAUAUAUACAGAAAGUUCUCUCUACAAAGAUUCGAAGUAAUUAUCAAUGACGUAACACAUCCACUGAACGGCCAUUACCAAAAGUUACCCUCAGGGAAAAGGCUGAGAUCAUCAAAAUGUAGAACAGCCAGAUUGUGUAAAUCCUUUGUGCCGGCAAGUAUCAGAUUUUUAAAUAGUGGCCCUCUAAACAUAUCAUAGCUAACUAUACUAAGGCUUGGGAACCAGUUACCAGUUAUCUUUUUAUGUACUCCAUUUUUUAUUAUUUUAUUCUUUUAGAUUAAUCUUUAGAUUAAUCUUUAGAUUAAUAAGACCUGUUAGUUUUAGACCUUGUAUGAAUGAUUCAAUCUUUUAUGAAAACACACAAGACAAAUUUCAUGUAUGUUACGUGACCAAUAAAUAUUAUUAUUAUUA